rnacentral:rRNA from 1 species
GCACGUAGUUAGCCGUGGCUUAUUCACCAGGUACCUUCAAUUAACCGCGCACGGUCAUUUUAUCCCCUGGCAAAAGCAGUUUACAACGCAUAACGCCUUCUUCCUGCACGCGGCAUGGCUGGUUCAGGCUCUCACCCAUUGACCAAUAUUCCCUACUGCUGCCUCCCGUAGGAGUCUGGCCCGUAUCUCAGUGCCAGUGUGGGGGAUCACCCUCUCAGGUCCCCUACUGAUCAUCGUCUUGGUAGUCCGUUACACUGCCAACUAACUAAUCAGUCGCAUGCCCAUCUUGUACCACCUCAGUUUUAAUAAUCAAAAGAUGCCUUCUAAUUAUAUUAUGGAGGGUUAAUUCGAGUUUCCCCGAGCUAUCCUCCUGUACAAGGUAGGUUGCAUACGUGUUACGCACCCGUACGACACUCUAGCUAUUGUAUUGCUACAACAGUUACCGUUCGUCUUGCAUGUAUUAAGCCUGCCGCUAGCGUUCAUC